ACAGUACAUCACCUUCAUGAGCGCAUCAGUGAACACCAGUCUAAGGAAGACAUCUCUGAACGUAAUUUUGGAGAUUUUGAUGAGUUCCAUUGAAACAAGGAGGAAUGUGAUGUCCAGUAUCAGUUCUGCAGACCCAAGGACAAAGAAAAUUCUGUGAUAAACUCAUCCAGUGUGACUGUAAUGAUACAAGACACCGGACUUUCAAAUCAACAAUUGUUUCAAAAGACUCCUACUGGAUUCCUGCUAGUGAUGGGAGAAAAUUAUCAUUCUGCUAGUUAAUCUGUAGCCAGAGAUGAUUAAGGAGGUCAUUAAAGGAAAACAAGCUGCCCACCAUGCUGAUGCCUGGUUGUUCAGAUCGUUGAGGUGGUGUAGAGAUGACGCACACUGGCUCAGUUUACCCACAUUUGGAUCUACGGACCUGCAAGUCCUCUGUCAUGACACACCAGCCCUGGGAUAUCACAUAAGCUACAGGUCAGACGCUGCUUUCCAGACAGAAUUAUGGAGAAGACAACCAUCAUUUUGGAGCUAUAGAUAGUGGAUUUCAAGAGAGUACCAAGGUUGCUACUCCAUAAUGGCCAGAAGAGCAAGCCAAAAACAUCAGAGUAAACACAGAAACCUCACAUCUCAGGGAGGUUUGCUUAACAAACAUAUCAAGACCUGGGAUACCUGGAAAACUGCAGAUGAAAAGAAUAUGUCUAAGAUCCUGUUAACAGCAGAACUUAGACUGCUAGCCCUGCUGGAAAUUUUCCAUGCUCUUCAUUCGUUCUCCUGUAUUUCCUAACGCCAAUAAAAGAGGAGAUCCCUGA
rnacentral:lncRNA from 1 species